rnacentral:rRNA from 2 species
AGACCCGAAACCCGGUGAUCUAGCCAUGGGCAGGUUGAAGGUUGGGUAACACUAACUGGAGGACCGAACCGACUAAUGUUGAAAAAUUAGCGGAUGACUUGUGGCUGGGGGUGAAAGGCCAAUCAAACCGGGAGAUAGCUGGUUCUCCCCGAAAGCUAUUUAGGUAGCGCCUCGUGAAUUCAUCUCCGGGGGUAGAGCACUGUUUCGGCAAGGGGGUCAUCCCGACUUACCAACCCGAUGCAAACUGCGAAUACCGGAGAAUGUUAUCACGGGAGACACACGGCGGGUGCUAACGUCCGUCGUGAAGAGGGAAACAACCCAGACCGCCAGCUAAGGUCCCAAAGUCAUGGUUAAGUGGGAAACGAUGUGGGAAGGCCCAGACAGCCAGGAUGUUGGCUUAGAAGCAGCCAUCAUUUAAAGAAAGCGUAAUAGCUCACUGGUCGAGUCGGCCUGCGCGGAAGAUGUAACGGGGCUAAACC